UGGUUUGAUGAUUGUGUUCUGCACUCUUGUGAAGCCUUGAGGACCCAUCUAGUUACCAAAAAACUAGUGAGCGUGACACCUUGUUAGAAUCGUUGAGCACAGUCGAAACUGGCGUUGACUUCGAAUACUUGAGGAUUUGAGACCCUCUGGUUCUAGAGUUGUCGGUUUAAAGUGUUGGAGCAAACGGGAAACUAGAGUUGAGUUUGAAUCGUUGAGGAGAGGAAGGUUGAAUUUUUUGGGGUAGAUGUUCCGCUCUAAAUGGACGACAUUAUUAUAUUUGUUGAAAUUUCAAAACUCAAAAUCAGUUACAAGGUAAGCGAUAUCCUGUGUUUGUUAAUUUCAAUAUACUUGAAAAAAUGUUUUGACCAAGUAUAUUGUCAUAAUUUACGCUAGUUUAGAUAUAGGUUGUUUAAGGUUUCACUAAAGACUCCAAACGACCUCGUAGGUGUAGCAUUUAUAUUCACUAAUGGGUUCAUAGAUUAUUUUGUUGCAGACUCCAUUAUUUAAUAAUGUUGCAAAGUCUAUUUGAUAUUUGUGGAAAAUUUGAAGAUCAAAAUCACUUAUGAGGUUAAAUUGCAAGAAUUGUGAAAUGGAGUCUGAAGCAAAGGUGAAACAUGAAGUUAGUGUGGAGUUCAAACCAAAACUAGGACUUGAAUUUGAUUCCAUUGAGGAUGCGUUGAAGCUGUAUGAUCUGUAUGCACUAAAAGCAGGAUAAUAUUCACUGAGAAACUCUUUUGUAUCA